GUACUUACUUCCUAGUUUAUUUGCUUUGGAAAGAGGGCAAUUUUCCCAUUCAGUGAUGCUCCAAAGUUCAAGGAGAACUACCCUGAGAUGGAAAUGGGAUGCUUUUCUCUUGUGUGAAAGUGUGCAUCACCAACCAGUAACUGGGAAGAUGGAAAAUAUACCUAAUGAACUGUUAAGAGUUGGCUAACAGGACCU